rnacentral:rRNA from 1 species
GACGAACGCUGGCGGCGUGCUUAACACAUGCAAGUCGAGCGGUAAGGCCCUUUCGGGGGUACGACGAGCGGCGAACGGGUGAGUAACACGUGGGUGACCUGCCCUUAGCUCUGGGAUAAGCCUGGGAAACUGGGUCUAAUACCGGAUAUGACUCCAUGACGCAUGUUGUGGGGUGGAAAGCCUUGUGCGGCUAGGGAUGGGCCCGCGGCCUAUCAGCUUGUUGGUGGGGUGAUGGCCUAUCAAGGCGACGACGGGUAGCCGGCCUGAGAGGGCGACCGGCCACACUGGGACUGAGACACGGCCCAGACUCCUACGGGAGGCAGCAGUGGGGAAUCUUGCGCAAUGGGCGAAAGCCUGACGCAGCGACGCCGCGUGGGGA